CACGUAGUUAGCCGGGGCUUCUUAAUCAGGUACCGUCAUUUUCUUCCCUGCUGAUAGAGCUUUACAUACCGAAAUACUUCUUCACUCACGCGGCGUCGCUGCAUCAGGGUUUCCCCCCAUUGUGCAAUAUUCCCCACUGCUGCCUCCCGUAGGAGUUUGGGCCGUGUCUCAGUCCCAAUGUGGCCGUUCACCCUCUCAGGCCGGCUACUGAUCGUCGCCUUGGUGAGCCAUUACCCCCACCAACAAGCUAAUCAGACGCGGAACCAUCGUAUACCACCAGAGUUUUUCACACCACUUCAUGCGAAGCUGUGCGCUUAUGCGGUAUUAGCACCUUAUUUCUAAGUGUUAUCCCCCAGUAUACGGCAGGUUUUCCACGCGUUACUCACCCGUCCGCCACUAACUCAUAAAUCACUUAGGUUUCAAUAUGAGUCCGUUCGACUUGCAUGUGUUAAGCACCGCCGCCAGCGUCAUCCUGAGCCAGGAUCAAACUCU
rnacentral:rRNA from 1 species